rnacentral:lncRNA from 1 species
AUCAAGCCACUAUAAUUUCUUGAUGACACUGGACUUGUUCCCAUUCCCUGGCCAUGCAAGCACCCGACUCGAUCAGAAGAUUAUUACUUUAUCCUUUCAUAAUAUAAUUACGGCACUAGAAAUAUUUAAUGUUUGAAGCUUGAGAUAGGAAAUUUAACAUUUUGUUUCACUCUAGGAAGCUCUUUUGUUGAUAUGCUACAUGACAAGCACCCUACAUUACUGGGCA